ACGGGAGGCAGCAGUAAGGAAUAUUGGUCAAUGGAGGCAACUCUGAACCAGCCAUGCCGCGUGCAGGAAGACAGCCCUCUGGGUCGUAAACUGCUUUUAUUCGGGAAUAAACCUUUCUACGUGUAGAGAGCUGAAUGUACCGAAGGAAUAAGGAUCGGCUAACUCCGUGCCAGCAGCCGCGGUAAUACGGAGGAUCCAAGCGUUAUCCGGAUUUAUUGGGUUUAAAGGGUGCGUAGGCGGCUUGUUAAGUCAGGGGUGAAAGACGGUGGCUCAACCAUCGCAGUGCCUUUGAUACUGAUGAGCUUGAAUGAACUAGAGGUAGGCGGAAUGUGACAAGUAGCGGUGAAAUGCAUAGAUAUGUCACAGAACACCGAUUGCGAAGGCAGCUUACUAUGGUUUUAUUGACGCUGAGGCACGAAAGCGUGGGGAUCAAACAGGAUUAGAUACCCUGGUAGUCCACGCCCUAAACGAUGAAUACUCGCUGUUAGCGAUACACAGUUAGCGGCUAAGCGAAAGCGUUAAGUAUUCCACCUGGGGAGUACGCCCGCAAGGGUGAAACUCAAAGGAAUUGACGGGGGCCCGCACAAGCGGAGGAGCAUGUGGUUUAAUUCGAUGAUACGCGAGGAACCUUACCCGGGCUUGAAAGUUAGUGAAUCAUUUAGAGAUAGAUGAGUGAGCAAUCACACGAAACUAGGUGCUGCAUGGCUGUCGUCAGCUCGUGCCGUGAGGUGUUGGGUUAAGUCCCGCAACGAGCGCAACCCCUAUGUUUAGUUGCCAGCACGUUAAGGUGGGGACUCUAAACAGACUGCCUGUGCAAACAGAGAGGAAGGAGGGGACGACGUCAAGUCAUCAUGGCCCUUACGUCCGGGGCUACACACGUGCUACAAUGGGUGGUACAGAGGGCAGCAAGCUGGUAACAGCAAGCAAAUCUCAAAAAGCCAUUCACAGUUCGGAUAGAGGUCUGCAACUCGACCUCUUGAAGUUGGAUUCGCUAGUAAUCGCGUAUCAGCAAUGACGCGGUGAAUACGUUCCCGGGCCUUGUACACACCGCCCGUCAAGCCAUGGAAGUUGGGGGUACCUAAAGUA
rnacentral:rRNA from 1 species